GUGGAACGUGAAGAGUUAACCGCCUUCAUGCCUGCAUAUUCGUAUUCUUUGGGUGUACUUGUUCGUAUGGUAGGUUAACAUCAAUUUUGGUCGUUAUAAAAUGGCUGGAGGAAUGUAGCUUUGAUCUCGUAUUGAAGUGUUAUAGCCUUCGGUAGAUGUAGUGAUCGGGAUUGAGGAUUGCAACGGAUACCUUUCGGGGCUACUCGUCUGAUCUCUGAUUGUUGCUCUGGUGCUGAAAGCGUGCUUACGGUUAUCAAAGUUGAUGGUCAAUAGGUUAGAACGGGUUAAA
rnacentral:rRNA from 1 species